rnacentral:ncRNA from 1 species
UGGUGACCUAUACCCGGAUAGGGUGGAGCCAGAUGAAACUCUGGUGGAUGUUCUUCCGAUUCUGACGAGCAAAUCGAUCGUCGAUUCUGGGUAUAGGGGCUAUUUGUUUCCACACUCCACCAGUGCUACCACUGAACCA